GGCCUGGCUGGGUGGUCCGCCUAACGGUGUGUACUGUCUGGCUGGGUCUUACUUCUUGGUGAGCCGGUGUGCCCUUUAUUGGCGUGCAUUGGGGAACCAGGACUUUUACCUUGAGAAAAUUAGAGUGUUCAAAGCAGGCUCAUGCCCGAAUACAUUAGCAUGGAAUAACAAAGUAGGACGUGCGGUUCUAUUUUGUUGGUUUCUAGAGUCGCCGUA
rnacentral:rRNA from 1 species